CCUACGGGAGGCUGCAGUGGGGAAUAUUGCACAAUGGGCGCAAGCCUGAUGCAGCCAUGCCGCGUGUGUGAAGAAGGCCUUCGGGUUGUAAAGCACUUUCAGCGGGGAGGAAGGCGUUAAGGUUAAUAACCUUGGCGAUUGACGUUACCCGCCGAAGAAGCACCGGCUAACUCCGUGCCAGCAGCCGCGGUAAUACGGAGGGUGCAAGCGUUAAUCGGAAUUACUGGGCGUAAAGCGCACGCAGGCGGUCUGUCAAGUCGGAUGUGAAAUCCCCGGGCUCAACCUGGGAGCUGCAUUCGAAACUGGCAGGCUAGAGUCUUGUAGAGGGGGGUAGAAUUCCAGGUGUAGCGGUGAAAUGCGUAGAGAUCUGGAGGAAUACCGGUGGCGAAGGCGGCCCCCUGGACAAAGACUGACGCUCAGGUGCGAAAGCGUGGGGAGCAAACAGGAUUAGAUACCCGUGUAGUC
rnacentral:rRNA from 1 species